CUUUUCAACUCUUCAAGUGCUAUAUAUACGCAUAUGUGUGCGUGUUUCUAAUAUCAUAUUUCAUCACACACAUUUAGCAGUAUAAGUGAAUAUCCGCUAACUAAGCCAUGGAGAAGAAAUCACUGGCCGGAUUAUGCUUCCUCUUCCUUGUUCUCUUUGUUGCUCGUAAGUCACUACUCUUAUGUCAUUCUUCUAUCAUAUGAAAUUCCACGUUGAUUUUAUUUCUUUAUUGGUGAAUACUUUAUAAAUCGAAUGUCUCUGACAUAUGCGGAUGAGUUUAUUUGAACAUGCAGAAGAAGUUAUGGUGCAGACUGAGGCAAAGACUUGCGAGAACCUGGCGAAUACUUACAGGGGUCCAUGCUUCACCACUGGCAGCUGCGAUGAUCACUGCAAGAACAAAGAACACUUGAGGAGUGGCAGGUGCAGGGACGAUUUCCGGUGUUGGUGCACUAGAAACUGUUAACCGGAUUCUCCCCAACCCGAACAAACGUGCAUGCAGGGCAUUUUAUAAAUAAAAAACUAUAUAUACAUACAAUAAGCCUUCUACUGCAUAUCUAUAUGUCAACUUUGUACUAUGGUACUACUUUCAUGUCAGAACUAUGUCUGUAGUCUCUGUGACUGCAUAACAGCUGAGUUAUGCACUUAUGUUAUGAAUUAUGAAUAAACUUCUUAAGUUGCAAAACGUCAUCCUAUUCUAUUCUUCUCGGUACUAUCAUUUUAAUUAAUCUUCUUGUCUUUUCUUCAGAUAUUUUGUGUUUAUAGUUUGUCCGAAAGUAACUUGCUGUAUUUUUUAAACGGAAUUAAAUAAUUGAUUUAGUAGUUUAUUAAUUUUGUAAAAAUAUUAACG
rnacentral:lncRNA from 1 species